UGGGGAAUAUUUCACAAUGGGCGCAAGCCUGAUGCAGCCAUGCCGCGUGUAUGAAGAAGGCCUUCGGGUUGUAAAGUACUUUCAGCGGGGAGGAAGGCGAUAAGGUUAAUAACCUUGUCGAUUGACGUUACCCGCAGAAGAAGCACCGGCUAACUCCGUGCCAGCAGCCGCGGCAAUACGGAGGGUGCAAGCGUUAAUCGGAAUUACUGGGCGUAAAGCGCACGCAGGCGGUCUGUCAAGUCGGAUGUGAAAUCCCCGGGCUCAACCUGGGAACUGCAUUCGAAACUGGCAGGCUAGAGUCUUGUAGAGGGGGGUAGAAUUCCAGGUGUAGCGGUGAAAUGCGUAGAGAUCUGGAGGAAUACCGGUGGCGAAGGCGGCCCCCUGGACAAAGACUGACGCUCAGGUGCGAAAGCGUGGGGAGCAAACA
rnacentral:rRNA from 1 species